rnacentral:rRNA from 1 species
AGCAUAUCAAUAAGCGGAGGAAAAGAAACCAACAGGGAUUGCCCUAGUAACGGCGAGUGAAGCGGCAACAGCUCAAAUUUGAAAUCUGGCUUCGGCCCGAGUUGUAAUUUGCAGAGGAAGCUUCUGGCGCGGCGCCGUCCGAGUCCCCUGGAACGGGGCGCCAUAGAGGGUGAGAGCCCCGUAUGGAUGGAUGCCUAGCCUGUGUGAAGCUCCUUCGACGAGUCGAGUAGUUUGGGAAUGCUGCUCAAAAUGGGAGGUAAAUUCCUUCUAAAGCUAAAUAUUGGCCAGAGACCGAUAGCGCACAAGUAGAGUGAUCGAAAGAUGAAAAGCACUUUGAAAAGAGGGUUAAAUAGCACGUGAAAUUGUUGAAAGGGAAGCGCUUAUGACCAGACUUGCGCCAGGCUGAUCAUCCGGUGUUCUCACCGGUGCACUCUGCCUGGCUCAGGCCAGCAUCGGUUUCAGCGGGGGGAUAAAGGCCUAGGGAACGUAGCUCCUCCGGGAGUGUUAUAGCCCUGGGUGCAAUGCUCCCGCCGGGACCGAGGUUCGCGCAUCUGCAAGGAUGCUGACGUAAUGGUCAUCAGCGACCCGUCU